rnacentral:rRNA from 1 species
UUGAGACACACCGCAGAUGGAACGCAAUGGAGAAAGAUCGACAGAGAGUUCAAAGAUUUUGCAGCUGACGCAAGGAACAUAAGAUUUGGUCUAAGUACAGAUGGCAUGAAUCCUUUUGGCGAGCAGAGCUCCAGCCAUAGCACCUGGCCCGUGACUCUAUGCAUCUACAACCUUCCUCCUUGGUUGUGCAUGAAGCGGAAGUUCAUUAUGAUGCCAGUGCUCAUCCAAGGUCCGAAGCAACCCGGCAACGACAUCGAUGUGUACCUAAGGCCAUUAGUUGAUGAACUUUUACAGCUAUGGGGCAGACCUGGUGUCCGUGUGUGGGAUGAGCACAAAAAAGAGGAAUUUAACCUACGAGCGUUGCUUUUCGUAACCAUCAAC